AUGGGAGAGGGGGGAAGUUGCUACUCCAUGCCCGAGUCACCCGUUGCCCAUGAGUUCGCUGUAUCUGCAUAGGAUUCUCGCUGUCUGUGUAGUUUCGGAACCCCUAUAUCUAUAGUGGAUACUUGCCACCCGUCCCGAAAACCCCUUAAAUGCGUUGCGUCUGCAAAAACGAUUUUGUUUUCGCAUUUAUUUAUGAGCCGCUUAGAGCGCGCCAAAUACUUUGCCAAACACUUUGAACCCCAACGCCAUGCUCGAGAACCCCACGCCCCCGCUCCCAACGGAUGACCUCCGCCCACCCACCGAAGUGGACACUAGCAGGGAAGGUCGUUUGUGGGUUGGGUUCCGCGCUGCGGCGGAGCAAGGAACGCGAACAGCUGGAGUGCGUGGGUCGCUCGAAAAGUAUGCCCGGUCUGAGAAAGUCUGCAUAAAAUGCCAGAUACAAACAUUUUCUUAUUGGGCUUUCGUUACGCGUGCGGAACAACACGAAAACACGGCAUACCCUUGAACCCAACUAGUACCGAUUAUAAAAAAAUAUAGGGUAAGAGCAUAAAAAUGCAGCGUGACCCUGAAACUGAAACUGAUCGUGAAUGGAAAUGGAAAUGGAAAUGGCUGAUGAAACCGAUGCACUCAAUCCAACGCGAUCCCAAUCUAUGGCAUCCCAGGCGGAGCUUCACUUCCGCGGUUACCAAAUCGACUUUGACUUUCAAAUUUUCCAACGCUUUUGUCGCAGACGUCUGUCUAAUGGAGCCGUUAAUGGUUAGACACAUGAAGUAUUUUGCCAAAUGGGCUCGACUUGGGACGGUUAAUUGCUGAUGAUGUGAUGAUAUGGAACCGGAUCGGCAGUGGGUUUUGGGGGGGAUGGCGGAGAUUUAGUAAGCAGCAGUGCUAGUGUUUGGAUAACACAUUUU
ensembl:ncRNA lncRNA:CR44905 long non-coding RNA:CR44905